UUGGGUGUAGUGUAUGGUACACCCUCCUUCAUCCUGCUGCGGUCGAAGUGAUGUAUCCAGGAGAAACCCAGGUUCGAUUCCUGGCACCCGAA